AUUGAACGCUGGUUGCAUGCCUUACACAUGCAAGUCGAACGGUAACGGGUCCUUCGGGAUGCCGACGAGUGGCGAACGGGUGAGUAAUAUAUCGGAACGUGCCCUGUAGUGGGGGAUAACUGCUCGAAAGAGCAGCUAAUACCGCAUACGACCUGAGGGUGAAAGGGGGGGAUCGCAAGACCUCUCGCUAUUGGAGCGGCCGAUAUCAGAUUAGCUAGUUGGUGGGGUAAAGGCCUACCAAGGCAACGAUCUGUAGUUGGUCUGAGAGGACGACCAGCCACACUGGGACUGAGACACGGCCCAGACUCCUACGGGAGGCAGCAGUGGGGAAUUUUGGACAAUGGGCGCAAGCCUGAUCCAGCAAUGCCGCGUGCAGGAAGAAGGCCUUCGGGUUGUAAACUGCUUUUGUCAGGGAAGAAAUCUUCUGGGCUAAUACCCCGGGAGGAUGACGGUACCUGAAGAAUAAGCACCGGCUAACUACGUGCCAGCAGCCGCGGUAAUACGUAGGGUGCGAGCGUUAAUCGGAAUUACUGGGCGUAAAGCGUGCGCAGGCGGCUUUGCAAGACAGAUGUGAAAUCCCCGGGCUCAACCUGGGAGCUGCAUUUGUGACUGCAAGGCUAGAGUACGGCAGAGGGGGAUGGAAUUCCGCGUGUAGCAGUGAAAUGCGUAGAUAUGCGGAGGAACACCAAUGGCGAAGGCAAUCCCCUGGGCCUGUACUGACGCUCAUGCACGAAAGCGUGGGGAGCAAACAGGAUUAGAUACCCUGGUAGUCCACGUCCUAAACGAUGUCAACUGGUUGUUGGACGGCUUGCUGUUCAGUAACGAAGCUAACGCGUGAAGUUGACCGCCUGGGGAGUACGGCCGCAAGGUUGAAACUCAAAAGAAUUGACGGGGACCCGCACAAGCGGUGGAUGAUGUGGUUUAAUUCGAUGCAACGCGAAAAACCUUACCUACCCUUGACAUGUCAAGAAUUCUGCAGAGAUGUGGAAGUGCUCGAAAGAGAACUUGAACACAGGUGCUGCAUGGCCGUCGUCAGCUCGUGUCGUGAGAUGUUGGGUUAAGUCCCGCAACGAGCGCAACCCUUGUCAUUAGUUGCUACGCAAGAGCACUCUAAUGAGACUGCCGGUGACAAACCGGAGGAAGGUGGGGAUGACGUCAGGUCCUCAUGGCCCUUAUGGGUAGGGCUACACACGUCAUACAAUGGCCGGUACAGAGGGCUGCCAACCCGCGAGGGGGAGCCAAUCCCAGAAAACCGGUCGUAGUCCGGAUCGUAGUCUGCAACUCGACUGCGUGAAGUCGGAAUCGCUAGUAAUCGCGGAUCAGCUUGCCGCGGUGAAUACGUUCCCGGGUCU
rnacentral:rRNA from 1 species